UAUAGAGUAGGGGUUAGUGCGUUAAGUGCUUUGAGGAUGGGAUGUUGCCUCAUUGACGAAGAAUUUUAUUCGCGGUGCUAAUCUCGCAUUCGCUGCA
rfam:Enterococcus cecorum DSM 20682 = ATCC 43198 genomic scaffold adfme-supercont2.2, whole genome shotgun sequence.